rnacentral:rRNA from 1 species
UACGUAGGGGGCAAGCGUUGUCCGGAAUCAUUGGGCGUAAAGCGCGUGUAGGCGGCCAGAAAAGUCCGCUGUGAAAACUCGAGGCUCAACUUCGAGCUGUCGGUGGAAACUUUCUGGCUAGAGUCCGGAAGAGGAGAAUGGAAUUCCUGGUGUAGCGGUGAAAUGCGCAGAUAUCAGGAAGAACACCAGUGGCGAAGGCGGCUCACUGGACCGGCAUUGACGCUGAGGUGCGAAAGCGUGGGGAGCAAACAGG